GGCACUCCGUCGACGACGACUAUUAUAUUCUUUUGUUUCUUAUAUACUCAAAAGAAAAUCUACUUCUCGUUGACUAGGUACAAAAUUGACAAACUUUAGUACAAACACUCUGAUCCUCUAAAACACUUGUGUUAGCACAAACUAGUUUCAACCGAACAUUCUGCAGAUAUGUUUCGUACAAAUCAAUAGUUUUAGAAAUAAAAAAUGUUUUAGUUGCUCUUCUGGUUCGAUUGUAGUAAUAUAGAUGUUACGAGUAAGUUCCUGAUAAAUUGGAAAAUGCGGAAAAAGUCCACACAUAAAUUUAUUGCAUUUAUCGUGUUAAUGGGCUUUGUUGUGAUCACUUAUAUUUGGCACGUAGACUUAGACGAUCUCACUUCGCAAGAGAAGGAAAGUGAGUAAUUUAUUGUAAAAAAGAACUUUUCCUUGCAGCACCGUUCAUGCUUCGUUUACAGGAAUGAAGAAAAACCUCCAAUGGAUCAUCAGUGCAUCGACUUGGGAAACACCAGCCACUGAACAGUGGAAAACAUUGAUGAAAAGCAAUGACCAAAUUGAAACAGCAGACAGCAUUAACAUGGCUGUCGAUUUCGGAUCAUCUACUGAUGGUUGCAUUUUUGGUACAUUCGAAAAUUGCGAGAUACCGGACUAUUGCAUCGAUCUUCUGUGGAAGGAGCCGCAUUCGGGCUAUUUAUUAACCCAUCAGAUAUUAUUCCAUUACAUGAUGGGUCGGGUAAAAAAUUUGAAGAUUGAGUUGAUGAAACCGUCGCUGAGUGCGUGUCAAAAUUGUGUGACUGUUUUUCCGGCGAAAAGAGAACUGUGUACGAGUCACAGAAUUUGGUCGAUCCAACCAAAUUUCUCGAAACAAUGUGCAGGCGUGUCAUAACUGAAACGAAGUUCAUUGAAACCUUGAAUUAUCCAAUAACUCAACAGGACCUGUUCGUCGAACAAAUUUUGGUGUGCUUCCUGGCGGGAUACAACGACUUUCUGACCAACAAAUGGACGAAUGUGGUUCUAGACUGGUCGGGUGAGAAUGGACUAUUGGGCUGUUAUUCGCUCGAAUCGAUAAAUGCACAGAAACAAAGUUUGAGCAGACGUGUGAAACGAUGGGACAAAUUGUACGAAGAUGGAAAUACAUGUGCUCCGUUCAUAUGGGAGCAUUGAUGCUUGGAGUGAUCGGUCAGCAAUUGCGGUAUUUUCUGGAAAUGUGUUACGAUUUGUAAAUAAAUGGAAAAGUUUGUGAAAUCCGAUUAAAGUUUUAGCAGCUUUAAUCGAGGUCAUGAAAACUGAGGACGCAUGAGCUCAGUCGACAUGGGGUACGCUUUUCCUGAGCGACACAAAU